UAAGGAAAAAAUGCAGUAAAAACAGUAAUACUGUGAAAGAGUAUUUCAAUUAAAAAAAAGAAAUAUUUUCUAUUAUGAACAUAUUUUUUAACAUGCAAUUUAUUCCUGUGAUGCAAAGCUGAAUUUUUAGCAUCAUUACUUCAGUCUUCAGUGUCACAUGAUAUGCUGAUUUGCUGCUCAACAAACAUAUCUUAUUAUUAUUAUUAUCAAUGUUAAAAAACAGUUGUGCUGCUGAAAAAAAGAACUAAAUCCGUUUCUCUUUAUAGCGACUCACAGCGUGACCUGCAGCAAUAAAAUCAAUAUCAACAUGAACGAGCAGAAAGCGAGAAAUGGAAAGAGUCUGUCAGCACCCACUCAGUGUUAAUUCCUCAUCAUUCAACUCCAACAGAAACACCACAGCAGCUCUGGCCACCAGAUCCAGCCUGUAUCCAGAUCAUACGGUGGAUCAGCACCUAGAGAUGACCUCUACAGCCCUGAAUGUCAGUGGAGACCAUGUCAACUAGAUGCACCUAGAGGACCUUUAUUAUUCCGAGGUGCAGUGAGAUCACUUCCUCUAUGCAGGGACUGUUUCCGCAGCAGCAGCAGCCUUUUCCUGUCCCAGAGAGAAAUAAGGAAACACAUCCUUAUCCAGCAGAGGUCAGAGGUUUGGGGUCAGAAGAGUUUCUUUCCUCUGUGUAAGUCAACUGGAUUUUUGCCCAUUUUAUCAUACACCCACUGAAAAUCACAAGUCUGAUUACUUAUUAAUGUACAACAAGCAGUGUGGGUUGAGUUACAUGCUAAAAUCUAACAGUGUUGAGGUUAUGAGCAAUAGUGUUAAGGCCUUAGCAGUCAUCUCUAAUUAUGCAUUAUGAGUGGUACAUGUCCUAUACACACUCCAAAACCAUCCAAGUUCUUGAAAUGAUCUAAGCAAGUAGAAAUGACACACAGUCUCUGUGUUGAGCAAUUGUGUAAAAGUGUGACAUGUUGAAACAGAACUCAGCUGCCCUGUCAUUUCCCAUCUAAUUCUAUGGAAAUGUGUCAUCUGGCACAUAACACAAUGCCCUCUGGCUCUUGUCUUUAUCGCUGUGUGUACAUUCCUUCAGAGAUCUUUCUCAAAGACAUGCUUAUCUGCAGAUAUUCAGGUUAUCAACUGUCUGCUGGCUCUUUAGCAUACCAAGUGUGUCUGUGUAUUUUACCCUGAUUCAGGCCAGUUGUGUUUGAUAAAUGGGACUGAGUGAUAUAUUGAAUGUUGUUGUAUUUUUUUAUUUUUUUAUUGAUGUUUUGACUUGUUUAUUAUGUUUUAUUUAAUUUUGUUUUAAUAGCAUCUUUAAAUUUCAAUACCAAAAAUAGAGUUAAGAGUCGGACUUGUUUUAGUG
ensembl:lncRNA